AAUAUAAAAAAAAAAGAUGGCGGCCUGCCAAACAGGAAGCUAAUUCUGGUGCGUUAAAAAGGUUUUAUAAACGUUUAAAAAUAUUUGUUGAGGUGUUUUCAUGUUAGAUAUGACUUAGUUAAAUGAAAACUGAUUGCAAAAGCCAAUUCAUUGUUUAUUUUAUUAAAAUUUAAAAUUACGAUUGACCUCCCUAAUUACAGACACGAACGACACUGCUCGUCAGAGGACAAAUUCCAGGUCGUAGAAACAAGCGCUCAAACGAAAAGACACUCGCAUUUGUUUUUGUUUUGUGUAGUUUCUAAGACAACAAAAAACAUAAAAACACCAAUGUCAGGCACAAAAAUAUUGGUUGAACUUUUCUACGACGUGGUAUCGCCGUAUUCUUGGAUCGGGUUUGAGGUCUUGUGUCGCUACAGAAAUGUCUGGAACAUAGAUCUCAAACUGAGACCUGCCUUCUUAGGGGGAGUGAUGCACGGAUCUGGUAACAAACCCCCAGGAUUGGUCCCCAAUAAAUUCCUGUACAUGACGAAGGACCUGCAGAGACUCGCCUCCUACUGCAAAGUGCCGAUCCAGGCUCCCAGCAACCCCUUCGAAGCCAUGUUUGAGAAAGGAAGCCUGUCUGCCAUGCGGUUCGUGACGGCAGUGGAGCUGCACAGCCCCGAGCUCACAGAGCAGGUCUCCAGGGAGCUGUGGAGGAGAAUCUGGAGCAAAAACCAGGACAUCACCACCCCAGAGUCCCUGAAAGAGGCUGGAGAGAAGGCGGGACUUCCCGCAGAUCAGUUGCAGAGGCUUGUGGGAUUGGCUGUCUCACAGGAAGUGAAAGAGAAGCUGAAACUGAUGACGCAGGAAGCACUGAAUCACAAGGCAUUUGGAUUUCCUCUGAUAGUCGCGCACAUCGAUGGCAGACCUGAAAUCUUCUUUGGAUCUGACCGCUUUGAGCUUCUGGCACACUUACUGGGAGAGAAAUGGCUUGGGCCGAUACCUCAAGAAACAGGAUCAAAACUUUAAACGCAAUCAAAGGACAGAUUGUUACUGGAUUACACCUGUCAGGUGAACACAAAACCCCUGCAAGACACUUCCUCACAGAGCAAGAAUAUCUCCUGAGACACAGACAGCAGCAAGCAGUAAAGGCUGAUCCUGGUUCAAUGCUGUAACACUACUGCAGUGGAAACAUCCAGGUCUUUGGUCCACGUUACCGCAGACUAAAUAAACUGAAUGCUCUAUGA